ACUUACGUAGUUUAAUAAAAACGGUAGUUUUGUAAACUACAGUUGGUUCGCCUGUGAGUA
rnacentral:tRNA from 3 species